CUCUCCAGGAGCAGCAGAGGAGGGAGGAAGCUGGGAGAGAAAAUCAGACUGUGAAAGAGGAGCUGGAGACCAAGAAGAAGGAGCUCCAGGAGGAGCAGCAAAGGGGGAGAAAGCUGAGAGAGAAGUUCAGACUCUGAAAGGGGAGCUGGAGACCAAUAAGAAGGAGUUGGAGGAAAAAGCUUCCCCUGUCUCUGACACUCAAGGAAGAGCAGCGGAAGAGGGAGGAAGCUGAGAAACAAGUCCAUAUCCUGACCCAGAAGCUGGAUGAAAAGAAUAACAAU